AAUAGUUGAAAAAAAAUUAUUUUAACUUAGACUCAAUGGCCCAAAGGAAAAAAAAAGUGAUAAUUGAAUCUGAUUUUUUAAUAGGCUCAAAUGGCCCAAGAGAGAUUUGAUUUGAGCUAGAUCCAAAAAUAAUGACCCAAUAUAGAUUUGUUAUUAAUAUUACUUAAUUGCCCUUAAUGAAAUAUGCAAUGUUAGUGAAGGAAACAUGCCCCUAAGGUAAUUAUGAC
rnacentral:lncRNA from 1 species